GGAAUACAUUUAAGUUCUAGGUUGCCCACCAGUAUAAUGCGGGAAUACAUUUAAGUUCUAGGUCACCCACCAGUAUAAUGCGGAAUUACUAUUUAAGUUCGUAGGUUCCCACCAGUAUAAUGCGGGAAUACUUUUAAGUUCUAGGUCGCCCACCAGUAUAAUGCGGGAAUACAUUUAAGUUCUAGGUCGCCCACCAGUAUAAUGCGGGAAUACUUUUAAGUUCUAGGUCGCCCACCAGUAUAAUGCGGGAAUACUUUUAAGUUCUAGGUUGCCCACCAAUAUAAUGCGGGA
rnacentral:lncRNA from 1 species